UUAUUGGUUGAUGUCAUGAUAGCAGCCAUUCUUUCUAGGGUGAGGCGGAAUCUCAGAGUUGUUUUUAUCUGCAUCUCUGGAAUGAAUGACUAGUAACUCAAAAACAGCUCAUUGAACCCUGCCCCCUCAGCCUGGUGGAAGGGAGGGGGAGCAGGAGCCUGCAGCUUGGGUGACUCUAGAUAACUUCAGGCUAAUUGCACAGUGUGCACAGACACACACACGCGCACGCACCCCGAGGUGGCAUCAACCCAUUUGAACAUCAGCCCUAUCAACUUUCCAUGGUAGUCAUCAUGCCUACCAUGGUGACCUCGGGUGAUGGGGAAUCAGGGUUCAAUGCCGGGGAAGGAGCCUGAGAAAUGGCUACCACAUCCAAGGAAGGCAGCAGGCAUGCAAAUUACCCACCUCUGACCCGGGGAGGUAGUGAUGAA
rnacentral:ncRNA from 1 species